rnacentral:lncRNA from 1 species
CACGUCAAAUACUUGCAGAAAAAACAACAUUGUGAAUUCUCAUUUUAAAAAAAUACAGCUGUAGAAAUAAGAGAUAUUAUUCAGAGGUUUGAAAAGGUACAGGAAAUGAAAGGAUUCUUUGGAUAUGUUUUUAAAAAGGGAAAUAAUUGAUUUAAUACAGGAAUCAUAGGACACAAUUGCAAAAAAAAAAAGAUAUAACUGCAAAAAAUGUUAAAAUUAAAGUUCCCGAUAUGUCUGACUUAACAAAAAUUUGAACUUGCAUUAAAGGAAGCAAAGACCAAGGAGAUGACAAUCUUUUUGGAAGAAAGCAAAGCCUAGCAGCUGGAGACCUGGAAGUCUUCCAUGGACAAGAGACAGACAGCUUGAAAUAUGGGAGUUAAAUCAAAAGAUUCAGCUUAAUAAUGAAUAUAUUCAGGUGGACUUAGCAAAGCUAAGAACUCUAAUGACAAAUUGAAAAGUUCAGUGCAUUUCAGAGUUAACUAGUAAACAUGAGUCAAAUUUCUUUAAGGCUGAAUUAAAUAAA